rnacentral:rRNA from 1 species
UCCAGACUCCUACGGGAGGCAGCAGUGGGGGAUAUUGCACAAUGGGGGAAACCCUGAUGCAGCGACGCCGCGUGAGUGAAGAAGUAUUUCGGUAUGUAAAGCUCUAUCAGCAGGGAAGAAAAAAGACGGUACCUGACUAAGAAGCCCCGGCUAACUACGUGCCAGCAGCCGCGGUAAUACGUAGGGGGCAAGCGUUAUCCGGAUUUACUGGGUGUAAAGGGAGCGUAGACGGCAAUACAAGUCGGAAGUGAAAUACCCGGGCUUAACCUGGGAACUGCUUUGGAAACUGUAUGGCUGGAGUGCUGGAGAGGUAAGCGGAAUUCCUAGUGUAGCGGUGAAAUGCGUAGAUAUUAGGAGGAACACCAGUGGCGAAGGCGGCUUACUGGACUGUAACUGACGUUGAGGCUCGAAAGCGUGGGGAGCAAACAGGAUUAGAUACCCCGGUAUG